GACGAACGCUGGCGGCGUGCUUAACACGUGCAAGUCGAACGGAAAGGCCCUGCUUUUGUGGGGUGCUCGAGUGGCGAACGGGUGAGUAACACGUGAGUAACCUGCCCUUGACUUUGGGAUAACUUCAGGAAACUGGGGCUAAUACCGGAUAUGAGCUCCUGCUGCAUGGUGGGGGUUGGAAAGUUUCGGCGGUUGGGGAUGGACUCGCGGCUUAUCAGCUUGUUGGUGGGGUAGUGGCUUACCAAGGCUUUGACGGGUAGCCGGCCUGAGAGGGUGAACGGCCACAUUGGGACUGAGAUACGGCCCAGACUCCUACGGGAGGCAGCAGUGGGGAAUAUUGCACAAUGGGCGGAAGCCUGAUGCAGCAACGCCGCGUGCGGGAUGACGGCCUUCGGGUUGUAAACCGCUUUCGCCUGUGACGAAGCGUGAGUGACGGUAAUGGGUAAAGAAGCACCGGCUAACUACGUG
rnacentral:rRNA from 1 species